GACAAGUUAGAUCAAGAGAGUUCUACAACAACCAACAGAUCUACUCUUCCACCAGCUAUUUCUUCAAAUAUUACUACUAGCUCAAGCUCCUCUACUGCCAGCAUCAGUCAAACCAGGAGAGAGACUGAAGAAGUAGGUAUCACAUACAGUUCCGACAAAGCUCACAAAGUGAUAACAAGAAGCACUUCCCUAAUAAAGGAUUGUGGGAUCGAUCUUCGCAAAUUAG